GCCCCUGGAUUUGGGCUCUGAUUGGUCCCACCGCUCUGCUGACGACAGCGACUGGGGGCGGGUCCUUCCCUUUCCAAGGCUCCUCCGGCGAGUGGCAGCAGAUCGGGCGCUUCUCGGCCGAUUUUCUGCCUGCUGGGCCUGCGGCUCUGGUGGGCAUUGGCCGGCCGCCGGGCCCCUGGAUCCAUCUGGGGUGCAUUUCCUCGAAAGCGUGGGCCUCGAAGCCCCGGGGCGGGCGCGGCCGCGGCUGGCGCGUCUCCUAGAUACACCAAACCAGGGCAGGGAGCUGGGCUGCAGUGUUCAGGAGGUUUCCCAGGGCCUGGCUCAUGGUCCUCCUUGAGACCCCGGUGACCGUCACAUCAGUGGGAAUGAAUGACUGGCACAGGAUCUUUGACCAGAACCCGCUGGUCCCUCCCCACCCACAGAGAGCCCGCCAGCCUCUCAAGGAGUCGAUGGCAUUUCAGUGUGUCCUGAAGGGGCUCGAUGGCCCGCUAAUUAAGCAGGGCGUGCUGGAGGGCCUGUCGGGCGUGGGGUGCCACCUGCGCGUGUCUCUCUUUGACGUCACCUACCGACACUUCUUCGGGAGGACAUGGAAGAGCGUGACGAGGCCGGCUGAGCAGCUCUCCAGGCAGCCGCCCAGGAUUGUCUUCAAUGAGCCCUUGUAUUUUCACACGUCCUUAAACCACCCUAACAUUGUGGCCGUGCUCGAGGUGGUCACCGAAGGCAGGACGCGGGACGGGACCCUCCAGACGUUGUCCUGUGGGUUUGGAAUUCUUCGGAUCUUCAGCAACAAGCCGGAAUCUCCCACCGCUGCCUCCCAGGACAAACGGCUGAGACUGUAUCACGGCAGCCCCCGUGCCCUCCUGCACCCGCUUCUCCAGGACCCCGUAGAAAAAAACAAGCACAUGGCCCUCAUUGAGAGCUGCAGCCUGCAGUACACGCUGAGGCCCCAUCCCCUUCUGGAGCCUGUGUUCCACCUUCUUCCCGAGAACCUCCUGGUGUCUGGUCUGCAGCAGGUGCCUGGCCUCCUUCCAGCUCAUGGAGAAGCAGGGGACGCCCUUCGAAAGCCCCGCCUGCAGAAGUCUCUCCUGUGCCAUCUGGACGACUUGUUCUUCACGCUGUAUCCCUCCCUUGAGAAGUUCGAGGAGGAGCUUCUGGAACUCCUGGUCAGCGAUCACGUCCGGGAGGCAGGCAGCCCACUGGACGGCAGUGCCCUGGAGAUCCUGGAGCGGCGCCUGUGUGUGGGUGUGCACAACGGGCUGGGCUUCGUGCAGAGGCCCCAAGUCAUGGUGCUGGUGCCCGAGAUGGACGUGGCCUUGACACGCUCUGCCAGCUUCAGCCGGAAAGUUGGCUCCUCUUCAAAGGCCAGCUCUGGAAACCAGGCUCUGGUUUUGAGAAGCCGCCUCCGACUCCCUGAGAUGGUCCGCCACCCCGCGUUUGCCGUCGUCUUUCAGCUGGAGUACGCGUUCAACAGCCCUCCUGGAGCCGACGGCCACGCAGCGUCAGUCACCGCCUCGUCCACCUUGGCCUGCAUGCACAUGGUUCGCUGGGCCGUCUGGAACCCCUCGCUGGAGGCCAGCUCCGGGCGCGUGACGUUACCUCUACAGGGUGGGAUCCGGCCCAACCCUGCACACCGCCUGGCCUAUAAGGUGCCCCCAGCCAGCAUGAGCUCUGAAGAGGUGAAGCAGGUGGCGUCGGGGACGGUCCAGUUCCAGUACUCGCUGAGCCCUGAAGGACACCCGGACACACCCACAGGCCACGCCAGUGGCCCCAAGGCCGAGCGGCAGCUCUCCAGGAAGCCACCCACGUCCCCUUCAAGCCCGCCAGCAUUGCCGCCCCAGGGGCUCACCACCCCCCAGGACUCGCCUGUGGGACCCGGGUUGUCACUUUCCCAGCUGGCGGCCUCCCCACGGUCCCCGGCCCAGCGUGGCUCGGCUGAACCGCGCUCCCAGCACCGCGGGAGCCCCGCGCUCUCCCAGGCCCCAGGGGAGUUCCCCCUGGAGGGCAGGAUCUCUCACCUGGAAGCCGACCUGAGCCACACGGCCUCGGGCCUGGGAACGUCCACUGCUGAGCCGUUGCAGGAGCUGCCUUUCAUGCCGGUACAUGCCCCGAUCGUCGUGGGAACCCAGACCAGGAGCUCUGGAGGGAAGCUCUCAAGAGCCGCCCUGGCGCUGCUGCAGUCUGCUGGCUUCCCCGAGAUUCUGGACGCCAACAAGCAACCAGCCGAGGCCGUGAACCCUACAGAUCCCGUGAAGUUCAACCCUCAGAAGGAAGAAUCAGACUGUCUGCAAAGCAAUGAGAUAGUGCUACAGUUUCUUGCCUUUAGCAGGGCGUCCCAGGAAGGCCAGGCAGCCCCGUGGCCGAAGACCGUGUACUUCACCUUCCAGUUCUACCGCUUUCCCCCCGAGACCACGCCGCGCCUACAGCUGGUGGAGCUGGAGGGGAUGGGGGAGACCAGCUCUGCCCCCCUGUCCCACAUCCUCGUCCCGAUCCCCAAGGACGGUGCCUUCGAGGCGGGGUCUCCUGGCUUCCAGCGGACGUAUGUGGUGGACCCCGCCUUCCUGAGACCCGGGGAGCAGCGCUGGUUCACCCGCUACCUGGCCGCACAGACCCUGCAGGUCGACGUGUGGGAUGGAGACUCCCUGCUCCUCGUGGGCUCCGCCGCCGUCCCCAUGAAGCACCUCCUCCGCCAAGGCCGGCCGGCCGUGCAGGUCUCGCAUGAGCUUGAGGUCGUGGCGACCGAGUACGAACAGGACGCCGUGGUGGCGAGUGGGGACAUGACGCGGUUUGGCAGCGUCAAGCCCAUUGACGUGCAUGCAGUGGUGAAGGGCCGGCUGCACCUGACCUUAGCCAAUGUGGGUCACUUGUGUGAACAGAGAGUGAAGAGCCCCAGCCCGCUGCCCCAUUCUAGGUCCCGGGUCAUCUCCAACGACGGAGCCAGCGGUUUCGCGGGAGGCAGCCUCCUCUCCCCUGGGGGCCCGAGGCCAGUGAAAAAUGUGGUCCAGGCACAGAAGCUGGCCGACGUGGACAGCGAGCUGGCCGCCCUGCUCUUCAGCCCGCGGCAGGGGAGCCGGGGGCCCCAGGGUGCUGGCCGCGAGGGGGACGCCGUCCGCAGGCGCAAGCUGGAGCGCAUGAGGGCCGUGCGGCUGCAGGAGCGCGGAGCUGAGCCGGGCCGCCGCGGGCUGGGUGCACUGGCCCAGCAGAGCGCCCGCGCCCAGCACGCCCGAGACCUGCAGGUCAUCGCAGCCUACCGGGAGCGCACGAAGGCCGAGAGCAUCGCCGGCGCGCUCAGCGCUGCCAUCACCACGCGCCACACCCUGCGCGUCACCCUGGGCGCCGCCGAGUUCUUCGAGUUCGCUCUUCGGAACCCCCACACCACGCAGCACACGGUGACGGUCGAGGUGGACAGUCCUGAGCUCAGCGUCAUCCUGGACAGUCAGGAGUGGAGGUACUUCAAGGACGCCGCCGCCCUGCACACGCCCCUGGAGGAGGACAUGUUCCACCAGCGGGGCCGCCUGGCCCCCCAGCUCUUCCUGCGCCCCGGGGAGACCGCCCACGUCCCCUUCAAAUACCAGACCUUCUCCGCGGGGCCGCACGCCUCCGCGCAGGCCUCCGCUGAGCUGAGAUCCGAGCAGGACACAGACGCCGAGUCGCCUUGCAAGGCCAGCAUGCUGCCCACCAAACACGCCAAGGUGCUGUUCCGCACGGGCAGUGGCAAGCCCCUGGCCGUUCUCUGCCUGACAGUGGAGACGCAGCCGCACGUGGUGGACCAGGUCUUUCGCUUCUACCACCCGGAGCUCACCUUCCUGAAGAAGGCCAUCCGCCUGCCCCCCUGGCACACGCUUCCAGGUGCUCCUGUGGGGUUGUCCGGCGAGGACCCCCCGGUCCACGUCCGAUGUAGCGACCCGAAUGUCAUUUGUGAGGCCCAGAACGUGGGCCCUGGGGAGCCCCGCGACGUGUUUCUGAAGGUGGCCAGUGGUCCAAGCCCGGAGGUCAAGGACUUCUUCGUCACCAUUUACAGGGACCACUGGCUGGCGACGCCCGUCCAGACCUGGCAGGUCCACCUCCACUCCCUGCAGCGCGUGGACGUCUCCUGUGUCACGGGCCAGCGCACCCGCCUGUCCCUUGUCCUUCGGGGGACCCAGACGGUUAGGAAAGUGAAAGCUUUCAGCUCACACCCCCAGGAGCUGACGACGGACCCCAAAGGGGUCUUCGUGCUGCCGCCUCACGCGGUACAGGACCUGCACGUGGCCGUGAGGCCCCUCCGGCCUGGCAGCCGGUUCGUGCACCUCAACCUGGUCGACGUGGAUGCCCACCAGCUGGUGGCCUCGUGGCUCGUGUGCCUCUCCUGCCGCCUGCCUCUCAUCUCCAAGGCCUUCGAGAUCACGCUGGCUGCGGGGGGAGCAAAGGGCGCCCACAAACGCAUCACCUACACCAACCCCUACCCGACGCGGAGGGCCUACCGCCUGUGCAGUGACCACCCUGACCUGCUGCGCUUCCAGGAGGAUGCCUUCCAGGUCGGGGGAGGAGAGACCUACACCAUCGGCCUGCGGUUCGUGCCCCGUCAGCGGGCCGGGGAGGAGGAGAUUCUGGUCUACAUCAACGACCGCGAGGACAAAACUGAGGAGGCCUUCUGCGUGAAAGUCUCCUACCAGUGAAGGCUGCCCCGGUGCCGACUCGGCGCCCCCGCCUCCGCCAUGGGUUCCCGGUGCCCAGGCCAGCAGGGCCGCUGCCGGUGCCAGGCGCGUGGCAGGCCCCGCCAGGCCCCAAAGCCCGUCCCUCCCCGAGGCACCAGGGUGAUUGUCACCCCCGAUGACAUUAGGGUUUGCUCUCAGCGAAAUGUAUUUUAGGAAUCUUUUUAAAUGACAAAAUUAUGUUUUUUUACUGAGUUUUGUACAAACCAUAUUAUUUGCUAUGUAAUAUUUUAUACUGGUAUAUUUUUUCAAAAAGUUCUAUGAAAUAUUAAAUUUUUACAAGUCUUU